rnacentral:rRNA from 1 species
AUGCUUGUCUCAAAGAUUAAGCCAUGCAUGUCUAAGUAUAAACAAAUCUAUACUGUGAAACUGCGAAUGGCUCAUUAAAUCAGUUAUAGUUUAUUUGAUAGUACCUUACUACUUGGAUAACCGUAGUAAUUCUAGAGCUAAUACAUGCUAAAAAACCCGACUCUUGGAAGGGUUGUAUUUAUUAGAUAAAAAACCAAUGCGGCUCUGCCGGUUCUUUGGUGAUUCAUAAUAACUUUGCGAAUCGUAUGACGCAAGUCGACGAUGAUUCAUUCAAAUUUCUGCCCUAUCAACUUUCGAUGGUAAGGUAUUGGCUUACCAUGGUUACAACGGGUAACGGGGAAUA